UGGGGAGCAGACUUGUCCUGCUGUCUGUCAGAAAUUCUAAGUAAGGGCUGCGUCUUUGUGGAUUACCUUCUUUUGUUCUUUCUGCCUGAGAUCAUGAUAGGAGGAUGUUGGGGGUAGGAUUAGCUUGAAUUUUUUUUUUUCCUUUACAUUUUUCUUCUGUCUGCUCCCUGCUUAGCCCUCCGUUUUCUCAAUCCUCUGGUGUUCUCUUAGAGCAGCCCCUGUCAUUAGUUGGCUGGCCUUCAGGUUGACAAUGUAGGGGUAGGGGAUCCAGCAUAUUCUUUUAUUUUCAAGUCCAUUCUUGGGGCUGGUGGGGAGGCAGAAUGCCCCUCCCUAAGCCCUUUGUGUGUGCCGAGCUUGCUUUUUGAUGUUGGCAGGGGAAGGGGGAUCUCCCCUCCAGUCUCCAGGGUGGUGACUGAGUUUCCUAUAUCAAACCCUUCAAUGGGCACAAAAUGGAGUGCUUGAUUUUAGGUUUUAUUUUUUUAUGAAUGUCCAAACCAGUGUUUCUCCCUGCCCUCCCAGACUGUGUGGCCAGUUGAAAGUGUCUGGUUUGUGUUCAUCUCUCCCUCAUUUCUGGACCAAGGCCCGAGAGACCCUGCCACAUCUCCUAUGCUCUGCAUCCAUGCCUUUUUUGAACAUUAAAGGUUGACUGAUGCAGUAACAAUAAUAAAUCAUAAUGCGGUCUCACUUUACAUUAGCAUAAGUAUUGUUAAAAAGCAAAAAAUUACAGAUGCUGGUGAGGAUGUACAGAAAAGGGAACUCAAACUGUUGGUGAAAAUGUAAAUUAGUUCAGACUAUGGAAAACAAUAGAGAAAAAAAGUAAAAAUAGAACUACCAUACCACCUAGCAAUUCUUCUACUGGGCAUUUAUCCAAAGGAAAUCAGUGUACCAGAAGGAUACAUGCACACCCAUGUUUCUGACAGCUCUAAUGACAGCAAAGAUAAGAAAUCAACCUAAGUGACCAUCAACAGAUGAACAGACAAAGGAAAUGUGGUCUACGUACACAAUGGAGUACUAUUCAGUCAUAAAAAAGAAUGAAAUCAUGUCAUUUACAGCAACAUGGAUGGAUCUGGAGGACAUUAAAUAAGCCAGGCAGAGAAAGACAAAUACUGGAUGUUCUCACUCAUAUGUGGGAGCUAAGAAAGUUGACCUCAUGGAGGCAGUGAGUAGACUGAUAGCUAUCAGAGGAUGGGAAGGGCAUAUGGGUGGGAGUGGCCAUGAAGAGAGGCUGGUUAAUGGGUACAAACAUACAGUUAGAUAAAGUUCUAAUGUUUGAUACAAAGUUGGGUGACUAUAGUUAAUUGUUAACAACAAUGUAUUAUAUAUUUCAAAAUAACUAGAAGAGAGGACUUGGAAUGUUCCUUAUAGGAAUUCAAGGUGAUGGAUACCCCAAAUACCCUAAAUUGAUCAUCACAUUCUAUGCAUGUAACAAUAUCACGUGUCCUAUAUAAAUAUGUACAAAUACUGUGCAUUAAUUAAAAUUUAAAAAGCAAGACCAAGGUAUGUGCUGUUAAUGAGAAACCCAUUUUAAAUAUUAAGGUAGGUUAAAAGUGAAAAAAUUAGGGGAAAAAAAACAGUGCAUGCAAGUACUGGUAAACUCCAAACAAGGUCUAUCAACAGUUUAGUAAUAGUAUUGUACCAAUGUCAACUUCAAGGUUUUAAUAAUAUGGUUACUUAAAAUGCUAUCUUUGGGGGAAGCUGGAUGAGAACAGAACUCUCUGUAUUAUUUAUGUAAUUUUUCAUGUCUUUACCAGCAUCUAGGAAACUGUAACAGACUAACACAUUAGAUUGUAAAUAGGGUAAACUCAAAUAGCAGACUUAGCAAUUUUGUUGAGAAAGAAAGGAUGCUGACAGACAUGGAUUUCUGGAUUAGAAAGGACAAGGAUCUGCAGGCCAGGUCAAGAAAAUAAGACUCCCAAGAUCCAGUAAUAAAUACUAUUGCCCAGUUGGCAGGAAAUCCUACUUCUUCCUGUUUAUAUGUUGAGCUGCUAGAAGCAAGACUGAAAUAAGUUACCCAAAUAAUAACUUCGUUGUUGCUCACUCUCUUCGAGGCAGAAAGAAGAAAUGUUAUGACAACAGAGCAGCAAGUCCCAUGGUCCCAGCUAAAAGGCGGGAUGGCUGUGACUGCUGAGGUGGAGAGUCCUCAAAGAUGGAGUUUCGCUCUGUCACCAGUCUGGAGUGCAGUGGCCCAAUCUCAGCUCACUGCAACCUCCACCUCCUGAGUUCAAGCAAUUCUCCUGCCUCAGCCUCCCAAGUAGCUGGGACUACAGGGAAUUAAACUUCUGGUCUCCCACCUGAGCAUGGAGUGGAAAUGGGCAUAUAAGGUUUCAGAAGACUGCAGGCACCAGUUGCCAGUUGAGAAAUGAAUGACAUCCAAAUACCUCAACAUCUACCAGAACUUCGAAUAAUUACCAGGGAAAAAGGGGAGCCAGGGGCAGGCAGAAGCAGUGGGUGGGAACCCACCAGAGAACACCUUUGCUGCUAGGAGGUAUGGUGUCUAUACAAAUGCUGGCGCAAUAAAGUCACUGGAUCCCAUGGAGGAUUACCUUCAUCAUCUGUUCUCUCAAACCUUGCUCCAGAAAAAGGGGACUUUUACUUGCCUAAGUGAUGUUUUCCAUUAUUUCUUUCCUUAUCCACAACACCUAACAUCUUCCAUAUCUCCCUUUCUUCCUUCAGAGUACAGGUUGUCCCAAUCUCAGAGUUCAGAGAAAAAUAAACAAAAACUUUCUAUGUUGUAAAAUAAAUAAAUAAAUAAAUAAAUAAAACAAUCUGUGUUGUUGCUACCCCUGCUUCAAGCCCUCCAAUGGCGUCCUGUUUCUCUGAGUACAAUUCCAAGUCCUUGCUAUGGCCUGCCUGCCAACAAGUUUGCCUCAUCAAAUCUCUCGAGGCUGACCUCUCACCACUGUACCCACUGCUUACUACAGCCUAGCUUCUCCUUGAGCAGAGCAAGUACUCUCUCUACUCCCUAAUCCUCUUCCCUUGCCAUUCCCCAUCUGCAACAUUUUCCCUUCAAAUAUCUCAGUGGUUUGCCUCUGUACUCUUUCAAGGUUCUCUGCCACACAGUUUUUCUUUUUUAGUUUCUACUCUAAAAGGCUUUCUAAAAGGCUUUCCCUGACAACUCUAUAUAAAGCAGCAGCCUCUCCCCAGUCACUCUGUAACCCCUCUUC